CAGUAGCCGCGGUAAUACGUAGGUGGCAAGCGUUGUCCGGAAUUAUUGGGCGCAAAGGGCUCGCAGGCGGUUUCUUAAGUCUGAUGUGAAAGCCCCCGGCUCAACCGGGGAGGGUCAUUGGAAACUGGGAAACUUGAGUGCAGAAGAGGAGAGUGGAAUUCCACGUGUAGCGGUGAAAUGCGUAGAGAUGUGGAGGAACACCAGUGGCGAAGGCGACUCUCUGGUCUGUAACUGACGCUGAGGAGCGAAAGCGUGGGGAGCGAACAGGAUUAGAUACCCGCGUAGUCCCUGUCUCUUAUAC
rnacentral:rRNA from 1 species